GAUGAACGCUGGCGGCGUGCCUAAUACAUGCAAGUCGAGCGAACAGACGAGGAGCUUGCUCCUCUGACGUUAGCGGCGGACGGGUGAGUAACACGUGGAUAACCUACCUAUAAUACUGGGAUAACUUCGGGAAACCGGAGCUACUACCGGAUAAUAUAUUGAACCGCAUGGUUCAAUAGUGAAAGACGGUUUUGCUGUCACUUAUAGAUGGAUCCGCGCCGCAUUAGCUAGUUGGUAAGGUAACGGCUUACCAAGGCGACGAUGCGUAGCCGACCUGAGAGGGUGAUCGGCCACACUGGAACUGAGACACGGUCCAGACUCCUACGGGAGGCAGCAGUAGGGAAUCUUCCGCAAUGGGCGAAAGCCUGACGGAGCAACGCCGCGUGAGUGAUGAAGGUCUUCGGAUCGUAAAACUCUGUUAUUAGGGAAGAACAAAUGUGUAAGUAACUAUGCACGUCUUGACGGUACCUAAUCAGAAAGCCACGGCUAACUACGUG
rnacentral:rRNA from 1 species